GUCUAUAACCAUGCCACCCUGAAUAAGCCCGAUCCCAUCUGAUCUCUGAAGCUAAGCAAGGUCGGGCCUGGUUGGUACUUGGAUGGGAGACCACCUAGUAAGACCAGAUGCUAUAGGUG
rnacentral:rRNA from 1 species